UACGGAGGGUGCAAGCGUUAAUCGGAAUUACUGGGCGUAAAGCGCACGCAGGUGGCUGAGUCAGUCGAUUGUGAAAGCCCUGGGCUUAACCUGGGAAUUGCAGUCGAUACUACUCAGCUAGAGUAUGGGAGAGGGCAGUGGAAUUCCCGGUGUAGCGGUGAAAUGCGUAGAUAUCGGGAGGAACAUCAGUGGCGAAGGCGGCUGCCUGGCCCAAUACUGACGCUGAGGUGCGAAAGCGUGGGGAGCAAACAGG
rnacentral:rRNA from 1 species